rnacentral:rRNA from 1 species
GAUGAACGCUGACAGAAUGCUUAACACAUGCAAGUCGAUGGGGAAGUGGUGCUUGCACCAUGGCAACCAUGGCGGACGGGUGAGUAACGCGUAAGGGACUUACCUGCAGGACUGGGAUAACAGGGGGAAACUCCUGACAAGACCGGAUAAUGUCAUGGAGCUGCAUGGCUUUAUGAUGAAAGGAGACGCUUGCGGAGAGCCUUGCGUUCUAUUAGCUAGUUGGUGAGGUAAUGGCUCACCAAGGCGUAGAUAGGUAGCCGGCCUGAGAGGGAGGACGGCCACAAGGGGACUGAGAUACGGCCCAUACUCCUACGGGAGGCAGCAGUGGGGAAUAUUGGACAAUGGGGGCAACGCUGAUACGGCAAUUCUGUGGGCACGAAGAAGGUUUUCGGAUUGUAAAGUGCUUUCAGCAAGGAAGAAGUAAGUGACGGUACCUGCAGAAGAAGCGACGGCUAAAUACGUG